rnacentral:rRNA from 1 species
AUGUCUCUGGCCCGCCUCGGCCAGUCGCUGGUCCGCCGCCUCCACCGGCCUCUCCACCUGCCUGCAGCGCCGCUGACAGACCACCAUGCCGCCGUUUCCCGUUCUUUAGCUCUGAUCCACGCGAAUACAUCUGCAAGAGGGUUUUCAAGCUUAACAUACAAUGGCGGCGGCUUGAUUGCUGGCAAGUUUGGAGGUCCGUCGCCUCUCCACGCUGUGCAGGUUCUGGAGCUUGUAGUUCACCUAAAUCAUGCAAGACAAAUGUCUUCAGGAGCUGUGGCACCGGCACCGGCAGGGCCAACGCCAUCAGGAGCACCGGUGACGCCACCGUCAGUGUCCAAAGGCGUUUCUGUCCGUGCUAAAAAGGUUGGUUUGAAAGUUUUCACGAUGAGCCCUGGUUUUGUUUAUGAGCCAUACUGUGUCCGGGAACCUAUCCCGUUUUGGAAAAGAUUGUUUACACGAAGUGGCUGGACUAGAACAAAGGAGGAUGUUAUUCUGGAGAUGAAGAAUGCAUAUGCUGUGUCAAGGUUGAGGAAGAAAACCGGAUAUACCAAAAAACAAUUCUACGAUCAAGCGUUUAAUAUAUACAAGGAGGUUAACAAGCUUAUGGCACAAGGAGACACAUCAUCUCUCCGGAAAGCUCUGACGGACAGGAUGCAUUCUAUUGUUAAAAAUGAAAUAAAGAGAAGAGAAUCCAAGUGGAAAUCUGUACACUUGGAAUUGGUGGAGCCUGCUGUAAGCAUAAAAACUUUGAGGGCUCGUAUGAUUGGUCUUGAUAAGAAUGACCUUGACAAAGCUUUCAUACAGCUUACGCUUGAGUUCGUCACUAAGCAGAAGUUUGAAGCCUAUAAUUCAAAAGGAGAGGUUGUGUCAGGGGACAAGUCAAAGGAGGUACUGGUGAAAGACAUAUGGGUGUUUGAAAGAUCCCUUUUCCACCCUGGAGCAUACUGGCGCGUGUGUGGGCGAAUCACAUUGUGA